rnacentral:rRNA from 1 species
GAUCAAUUGCCAACACUUACCACUUAGUUUUGUUUGCAACUCCUCUUUCCCAAUGAGAAAACAGAGCACCUACCAUUUUACCAUUACCAGCUUUUAUCAUGCUUUUUAUUUUAACACGUUAACCACAUUUAUAAUUCUAGAGCUAAUACGUGCAACAAACCCCGACUUCUGGGAGGGGCGCAUUUAUUAGAUAAAAGGCUGACACGGGCUCUGCUCGCUGAUCCGAUGAUUCAUGAUAACUCGACGGAUCGCACGGCCUUCGUGCCGGCGAUGCGUCAUUCAAAUUUCUGCCCUAUCAACUUUCGAUGGUAGGAUAGGGGCCUACCAUGGUGGUGACGGGUGACGGAGAAUUAGGGUUCAAUUUCGGAGAGGGAGCCUGAGAAACGGCUACCACAUCCAAGAAAGGCAGCAGGCACGCAAAUUACCCAAUCCUGACACGGGAAGGUAGUGACAAUAAAUAAUAAUACCGGACGCAUUAGUGUCUGGUAAUUGGAAUGAGUACAAUCUAAAUCCCUUAACGAGGAUCCAUUGGAUGGCAAGUCUGGUGCCAGCAGCCGUGGUAAUUCCAGCUCCAAUAGCGUAUAUUUAAGUUGUUGAAGUUAAAAAGCUCGUAGUUGGACCAUGGGCCAGGUCGGCCGGUCCGCCUCACGGCAAGCACCGACCUACUCGACCCUUCGGCCGGCAUCACGCUCCUAGCCUUAAUUGGUCGGGUCAUGUUUCCGGCAUCAUUACUUUGAAGAAAUUAGAGUGAUCAAAGCAAGCCAUCGCUCUGGAUACAUCAGCAUGGGAUAACAUCAUAGGAUUCCAGUCCUAUUGUGUUGGCCUUCGAGAUAGGAGUAAUGAUUAAUAGGGACAGUCGGGGCAUUCGUAUUUCAUAGUCAGAGGUGAAAUUCUUGGAUUUAUGAAAGGCGAACAACUGCGAAAGCAUUUGCCAAGGAUGUUUUCGUUAAUCAAGAACAACAGUUGUGGGCUCGAAGACGAUCAGAUACCGUCCUAGUCUCAAGCAUAAACGAUGGCGACCAGGGAUCGGCGGAUGUAGCUUAUAGGACUCCGCCGACACCUUAUGAGAAAUCAAAGUUUUUGGGCUCCG